rnacentral:rRNA from 1 species
GAUGAACGCUGGCGGCGUGCCUAAUACAUGCAAGUCGAGCGAACGGACGAGAAGCUUGCUUCUCUGAUGUUAGCGGCGGACGGGUGAGUAACACGUGGAUAACCUACCUAUAAGACUGGGAUAACUUCGGGAAACCGGAGCUAAUACCGGAUAAUAUUUUGAACCGCAUGGUUCAAAAGUGAAAGACGGCCUUGCUGUCACUUAUAGAUGGAUCCGCGCUGCAUUAGCUAGUUGGUAAGGUAACGGCUUACCAAGGCAACGAUGCAUAGCCGACCUGAGAGGGUGAUCGGCCACACUGGAACUGAGACACGGUCCAGACUCCUACGGGAGGCAGCAGUAGGGAAUCUUCCGCAAUGGGCGAAAGCCUGACGGAGCAACGCCGCGUGAGUGAUGAAGGUCUUCGGAUCGUAAAACGCUGUUAUUAGGGAAGAACAUAUGUGUAAGUAACUGUGCACAUCUUGACGGUACCGAAUCAGAAAGCCACGGCUAACUACGU